rnacentral:rRNA from 1 species
UGGGGGAUAUUGCACAAUGGGCGAAAGCCUGAUGCAGCGACGCCGCGUGGGGGAUGAAGGCCUUCGGGUUGUAAACUUCUUUUGCUCUGAACAAGGCAUGCCUUUGGGGUGUGUUGAGUGUAGGGGUUGAUUAGCGCCGGCUAACUACGUGCCAGCAGCCGCGGUAAUACGUAGGGCGCGAGCGUUGUCCGGAAUUAUUGGGCGUAAAGGGCUUGUAGGUGGCUGGUUGCGUCUGUCGUGAAAGCUCAUGGCUUAACUGUGGGUUUGCGGUGGGUACGGGCUGGCUUGAGUGCAGUAGGGGAGGCUGGAAUUCCGGGUGUAGCGGUGGAAUGCGCAGAUAUCAGGAGGAAUACCGGUGGCGAAGGCGGGUCUCUGGGAUGUUACUGACGCUGAGGAGCGAAAGCGUGGGGAGCGAACAGG